GUUGGGUAGUGCACUCGAAAAACUACCAGAUUGUAGGGUUCGUUGUUAGCCCGGUGUAAAACAACGAGUUGGGUAGUGCACUCGCAAAACUACCAGACUGUAAUCGCUGAUUAUAGUGAAAAUUCCCAAAGGUGUUUGGGGAGUGGAUGUAGGAGCAGUGGAAGCUCCGAACCACUAUAAACUUUUGUGUUUGCGAUUGACUGUGGUUACAACUUUAGUUUCACUUUUGCACAUACACUUGUGUGUUUUCUUUUAAUCAGACAAAAAGUUUUUAAAACACCCAAUUCACCCCCCUCUUGGGUUGUAUCUACUGGGCAACA
rnacentral:lncRNA from 1 species